rnacentral:rRNA from 1 species
GACAGAGGGUGCAAACGUUGUUCGGAAUUACUGGGCGUAAAGCGCGUGUAGGCGGCCCUGCAAGUCGGGUGUGAAAUCCCACGGCUCAACCGUGGAAGUGCACUCGAAACUGCAGGGCUAGAGUCCUGGAGAGGAAGGUGGAAUGCUUGGUGUAGAGGUGAAAUUCGUAGAUAUCAAGCGGAACACCGGUGGCAAAGGCGGCCUUCUGGACAGUGACUGACGCUGAGACGCGAAAGCGUGGGGAGCAAACAGG